UUUUAAGUGUCACCACAUCGGCAGACAGCGCAAGGCAGCUUAAUUCAUUCCCGGUACUGUACAUCUUGCCUGCUUUUCAAAUCCAUAUUUCAAGGUAUAGGCAAUGACAUCACUUUGGUCAGCUGCGAAGGUCCACACCACAGCGGUUGCGGUGGUUCCGGAACGGGCGGUAUGGCAACAAACCCAGCGCAUUUGAUGCUUCUACGUCAAGUCUUUCAUGCGCUGGCCACCGGACAUGAAUCCACUGUACCUGAUUUUCCUGAUGUGACGCGGACGGCGAUUCAGGCGUGCACGCAGCUGGCCUUGGCAGCGGUCAUGGCUGCGAUAGCCUUGCCACACGAGCUGAAAGGGCCCUCUCCCGCAUGUGGUGUGUCUUCUGAAGCACAGCCUCCGAAUAAAACUUUGCAUGCACUGCUGAGACCGUUUCCAUGAUCUGCCGUUUAAGACCCGACGGAUUGAUAAUUACAUGUAUGAUGUGUGAAACAGGGGGGUAUAUCUUCGCCCGUGGCAGCUACCCUUCGAAACCCUGCCUUCCCCGGUAUCUCGGGGCACCCUCAUCCAGUCACCCUAGUCAACUUCUCCGUGGCUCGCUCAGGUUCCGCACCCACCACUAGCAUCCAACGGAAUCUGACGGGUCGACAGCGGCCCAACUCCAUACCUGGUCGGCUCGCAGGUUAACUUUAUCCCAGGUCACCACCGUCCAUCAACUAGGAGCGCAAUACCUUCCACCAUCGGAAGGAUUAUUAACCCUUAGGGGUACCGAUCCCGGGAUCUCCCGGGGGCAAUGGUCGCGCGUUACCAGAAGUGCCAAACCCUAUAUACAUGUAUGUUUAAGUGGGUGUAUGUGUCUUUCUGUGGAUGGAAAAAGCACAUUCAUCCAAUAGACGCGUUCAACAGGAAUUCAAACUUACGCGGAAGAUCCCAGCUGCGGAAGAUCCCAUCGGUAGUAUGGUUAAUGCGUUUGUAGUGCGUUUGUACCGAAGCAGAUUAAUGACCCAGCUUUAUGAUAAGCUGAGAUCUGAGAUUGUCUGGGUACUUGGCUUUGUGUAUUCCGCAGAUAAGUCAAGGACGCGAUGACAGCGGGCGCAAUCCCGAUGGUGAGGGACGUGAAGCAGGGCGAGCGAUUCAGUAAAGGGGUUGGCAUCAAGCGAUAAAAGAAAGAUCAAGAGCAAAGUCCUUGACACAGAGGGCUGUGAGAACGUAUGGGUUGUGCGAAUCCUCUUCCUCGGAGUGUAGCACCAUGGCCGGAGCCUCCGAUCUGAGAUCUUGGAUGCAAGUUUGGCUCAUUUGGCGGACCAUGCAACGGCAAGGGCUGGACGGCUAAAGGCGGAGUGAUCGCACACGAAAUGGCGCGUGUGCGGUCACGGCUCAUGGCAUGCGCAGCAGGACACGAAGGCACGGUUGGAGCACUGACUGGGUAUGGCGAAAGUUUUACUGUAUCGCUUGACAAAAUGGGCACAUGCGCUUUUCAUGUCAUUCGGUAACGCGUGAUAAAUUUAACUCGGAGCUUUGGCUAUAGCUGCCCCUACCCGACCCAGACCUUGGGCCGUUCCCCUCCGGGUCUUUCCCCCCGGGGUAACCCCGGCGGGGUUGGCGUGUUUCUGUCGUGAAGCUUGUAAAAAAGGCCCACUUCACUAUCCAAGUUGACAUGGCUUGCCGCUACCUCCAACUUACAGCAGGAAGCAUUCUAAGCUUGCUUGGUCCUCCAUAUGCGAAGGAAAGGACGCUGCGCAACACCACGUUAAUUAGAAGCCGGGACAUGUUCGUCACCUGGCGCGUGAAAGCUCACUUCUGCAUAAAUAUUAUACAAAUCAAGAGGGUUGAAAAGUCUCUUAUACAGUAGAUGAACCUUCUGCCUAUGCG
rnacentral:lncRNA from 1 species